ensembl:lncRNA
GACAUUUUAGAGCUGGAGAAACUGGAGGUGCUUCCUUCCCUCAUGGAACUGUCUGUAGUGGGCAACCCAGUGAGUCACACACACACACACACACACACANACACACACACACACACACACACACACACACACACACACACACACACACACACACACACACACACACACACACACACACAAUGCUCUAGAUGAAGAGAUUUCAAAAUUGAGACCUUGGCUGAACUGCAAACUAACCAUGAUUACAGACAAAUCCUUACACACACUCACUCUCCGGUUCUGAAUAAAUACAGUAUGUUUUGUCCUCUUUAGUUGGCUGAAAAUCCCUUUAAUUAGACAUUAUAUUCUGCCCUAUGACUUACCAAGUGUGUGUGUUGCAGGUGGCUCGGCGGUCACUGCACAGGCCAGCAGUUGUACUGCAUCUGUCUACACUCCAGGUUCUGGAUGGCACGACAGUCACCCUGGAAGAAAGAACAAGAGCAGAGAUUUUAAAUAAUGAAGCACAGGGUUCUAGUUCAGGUGGUGAAGUGACUUUACCCGGUUUGGUACCAUUGGUGACCCGACCGGCUCCUUUAAGAGGUGCAGGAAUGCACUCACUCGUACCUGAUCAGCAAGACGACACACAUGAUACCAGCAGAUAUAGGAAGCAGAAAGCAGUUGCCUCUCUCUUGCGUGGAGUUCAGAGUGACUUCAACUUCAGGCAGAUCAGAGGAUCUUCCAGCCACUACAUGACAGCGCUGCAGCAGAGCGGAUACAGAGUUCUCUCCACUUUCCCUAACGCUGAUCCUGAGACCAGGUCUGUACAUACACACACACAUAUACAGUAUAGGUCUUUAUGUGAUGUUGAAGGAUAGAAAGUAUAUUAACCCUCAUGUCGUGUUCUUGUCAUUUCACAUGGAGAGGAUUUUCUUUUCCUAAAAAUGCUAGUUAAUGUUAUUGCAUUGGGCUAAAACUUACAGACUUCACUCACACAGGGUAUAACAACUUCCUGAAACCACAACCUCUUUAACUUUUUUUGUUAAAUAUUUUUUUUUAAAUCAUUUUGGUCCUGGUCCCUCUUCUUUGAUCUGAUCUUGUGCACCUCAGUUUUUAAGUGAAUAUUGCCAAAAUUAUCCACAAAUAGUGCUUUUUCAUUCAAAAACUGAGAUGCAUAAGCUUCGAUCAAUGAAACCUAUGACCAGUCAGUUCUAAAAAGAAACACAAAACCUGUGCUAAUUGAAAGAAAACAAGUUGACAACAAGAUUGAAUCCAAGGAUAAUUUACAAUUUUACAAUUUACAAGCCAUUUUUAAAUGGUUGGUCAUUUUUGACUGUGAACACCAGAUUAGGUCAAAGAUUUUCAGCCUAGCACAAGGGGUAAUCUUGAUAUUCUCCACAGGUACAAGUGUCACAGUGUACCCAGACCUCCUCCUCCUCCUCCUCCUCCUCUGUAACACAAAGUCAUAGAUGCACUAUGUGUGUCAUGAAUUUCAGCUUUGGUCUUGUAUGUUGUUGUUCAUCUUUGAAUCUUAGAUAAGACUUAAAUCUUUAAAUUUAUUUAUUUGGAAUUGUGUCAAUAUCAAAAGAUAUUAAAUGUAUAUUUUCUAUUCAAGACUUUGAGUGGUGUCCUUUAUCUUAAGUCUUUGUCCUUGCAACAUUCUCACUUUCCAUGAGGUUUGGUUUUAUUUUUUAAAAAAUGUAUUUGAUAGUUAUGAAGUCACUUCAAAUAUAAAAGUAUAUACAAAACAUUUGUCAAAAAAAAUCUUUCUUGGAAACUCAAAUGUUUUGGCCUGUAGUUGCAAAAUUUGUCCAUUGAGGGGUCCCAGAGGGCUUGUUUGGUUUUUAAUUUAUUGUGGAACUUGGUUGGAACAUAUAAACAUUAAAAUUUAACAGUGCUAAAAAAAUUUAAUUGUGAUAUCUGUUCUCAGUUUUACUUUUAUAAUAAUAAUAAUUAUUAUUAUUUGUUUUAAUGUAUUCUAUAGAUAAUAAAAAAAUUAUUAGUUGUUAUUGUUGUUGUUGU